rnacentral:rRNA from 1 species
UACGGAGGAUGCGAGCGUUAUCCGGAUUUAUUGGGUUUAAAGGGUGCGUAGGCGGGAUGAUAAGUCAGUGGUGAAAACCUGCAGCUUAACUGUAGACUUGCCGUUGAUACUGUUGUUCUUGAGUAUGGUCAAGGCAGGCGGAAUGUGUAAUGUAGCGGUGAAAUGCUUAGAUAUUACACAGAACACCGAUAGCGAAGGCAGCUUGCUGGGCCUGUACUGACGCUGAUGCACGAAAGCGUGGGGAUCGAACAGGAUUAGAUACCCUGGUAGUCCACGCCGUAAACGAUGAUCACUAGCUGUUGGCGAUAUACCGAUCGGCGGCAAAGCAAAAGCAUUAAGUGAUCCACCUGGGGAGUACGGCCGCAAGGCUGAA